ensembl:lncRNA
CCCAACUCUCAGCGGCGUACUCUUCCCAACGAGGAUCUUGACCUGACGCCGUGUCUUGGUGGGAAAAACAGAUUCGUUACGUCGCCGCGACGCUGUUCCUAACACUCGCGCACGUCGGAUAGAUUUACGCGCGUUUUCAUACUCGAGGAAAAGUGGACCGGAGUCGGGUUCCGGCGAGAUCGUACACACGUCGGAGCAAGGACACGGGUUUAAAAAGAAAGUGGGUGUGACAGAUCGAAACAGAAGGAUGGAAGAGGAUGGAAAGAAGUAGAGAUAGAGAGAUGGAAGAAGGUAGGAAGAACUGACGGGAAGAGAGAAGGAACGAUGGAUAAAAAGAAAGGAAGAAGGGCAGAUGUACAAAAUGAAGAACGGAAGGAUGAGGAAAAGGAGGACUGGAAUACGGAGGCAGGACGGACGAAGUGGGGGGUGGGGGUGGGUGGGGGGGGACGGAUGGAAGGAAGGACACAAAAGGAAGAGUGGGAAAAGAAAGAAAACGAUGGAAGGAGCGCCAGGAAGAAGGGAGAUCAAAAGCGUGAAUGAGUGGAAUGGAGCGAGGGGAAUAAAGAAGGAAGGAAGGAAGAAAAAGGAAAUAAGGAAGGAAGGAGGGAAGGAAAGAAGGCGAGAAGGAAGGAAGGAAGGAAGGAAGGAAAGAAGGAAAGAAGGAAAGAAGGCGAGAGGUAAGGAAGGAAGGAAGGAAGGAAGGAAGAAAAAGGAAAUAAGGAAGGAAGGAAAGAAGGCGAGAAGGAAGGAAGGAAGGAAGGAAGGAAGGAAAGAAGGAAGGAAGGAAAGAAGGAAGGAAAGAAGGAAGGAAAGAAGGAAGGAAGGAAAGAAGGAAGGAAAGAAGGAAGGAAGGAAGGAAGGAAAGAAGGAAGGAAGGAAGGAAAGAAGGAAGGAAGGAAAGAAGGAAGGAAAGAAGGAAGGAAAGAAGGCGAGAAGGAAGGAAGGAAGGGCAUACAGACCGAAUGAUAGAAUGAAAGAUAUAAGGAAGGACGGAUUGAAGAAAGCAGCAGAAGGAAGAAUUGAAUGGAUGAAAGGAAUGGCAGAAGGAAGGAGGAAGAGUGAGAAGAAUGCAGGAAGAAGAACUGAGAGUAAAGAAGAAAUGAAAAGACGGAUAGGAAAGCGAAUGUUAGUAAAAAGAAAGAACUGAACAAUUCUGCCACGGUUACAGCUGUAUCUCUCCUUCCUGUUUUCUUUCCUUUCUCUCGCCUCGUCUUUCUCUAUUGUUCUCUGUUUAUCCUGUCUUCUUUCUCUCCUCUUUUCCUGCAUUCUCAUAUCCAUGUCUUUUCUUCAUCCUUCAGUCUGUUAUAUGAAAACUCUCUCUCUCUCUCUGUGUGUGUGUGUGUGUGUGUGUGUGUGUGUGUGUGUGUGUGUGUGUGUGAAAUGUAAACUUUGAAUAAGAGCCGAAAUACUAACU